CCCAUGCAGUAGUAGCAGGGUUAUGUAAAAGAACAGAAAAUGUUGCCCUUCAACAAGUAGCUGUUAACAGAGAAUAUUACAAAAAACAAAAUCCAUCUGUACCUAGGCUGAAGCUGGACUGAGACCCACCUUAAGUGAAACAACAUUAAUGAUCAACUCACGCUUCUAAGGGCAGAGUCUCUCAAAGAUGUCUUGAAUAUUCUCAGCAAAGAUCCAGGAUCCCAGGAGAUCAUUUGCAGCU